rnacentral:rRNA from 1 species
AUGAACGCUGGCGGCGUGCCUAAUACCUGCAAGUCGAGCGAACAGACGAGGAGCUUACUCCUCUGACGUUAGCGGCGGACGGGUGAGUAACACGUGGAUAACCUACCUAUAAGACUGGGAUAACUUCGGGAAACCGGAGCUAAUACCGGAUAACAUGUUGAACCGCAUGGUUCAACAGUGAAAGACGGUCUUGCUGUCACUUAUAGAUGGAUCCGCGUCGCAUUAGCUAGUUGGUAAGGUAACGGCUUACCAAGGCAACGAUGCGUAGCCGACCUGAGAGGGUGAUCGGCCACACUGGAACUGAGACACGGUCCAGACUCCUACGGGAGGCAGCAGUAGGGAAUCUUCCGCAAUGGGCGAAAGCCUGACGGAGCAACGCCGCGUGAGUGAAGAAGGUCUUCGGAUCGUAAAACUCUGUUAUUAGGGAAGAACAAAUGUGUAAGUAACUAUGCACGUCUUGACGGUACCUAAUCAGAAAGCCACGGCUAACUACGUG